rnacentral:lncRNA from 1 species
ACGUCUCCGACGCUCAAGUCAGUAAUUUGUAAAGAAGUAAUAACUUAAACUAGUGUUGCCAAGUGAGAACGUGAGCUCUUAAGAAGUGUGUCCUAAAGUUUCUUAAGAGAGUUUCGGGUACUUACCUUUCCUCCGACGUUGCUUCGAGAGGGUGAUCUUUGAUUGUCCUCCACUCGUUAGGCAUAUUCAUUCCCUUUUCCAAUUGUGGCGCUUCUUCCGUUGGUUGUUCCUCAGUUUCAUCUUUAUUUU